UACGUAGGGUGCGAGCGUUGUCCGGAAUUACUGGGCGUAAAGAGCUCGUAGGUGGUUUGUCGCGUUGUUCGUGAAAACUCACAGCUCAACUGUGGGCGUGCGGGCGAUACGGGCAGACUAGAGUACUGCAGGGGAGACUGGAAUUCCUGGUGUAGCGGUGGAAUGCGCAGAUAUCAGGAGGAACACCCGUGGCGAAGGCGGCUCUCUGGGACGGUACUGACGCUGAGACGCGAAAGCGUGGGGAGCGAACAGG
rnacentral:rRNA from 1 species